rnacentral:tRNA from 1 species
GGGCCUGUAGUUCAGUUGGCUAGAACGCCGCUUUUGCAUAGCGGAGGUCAGCGGUUCGAGUCCGCUCAGGUCCACCA